rnacentral:rRNA from 1 species
AUUGAACGCUGGCGGCAGGCCUAACACAUGCAAGUCGAGCGGAUGAAGGGAGCUUGCUCCUGGAUUCAGCGGCGGACGGGUGAGUAAUGCCUAGGAAUCUGCCUGGUAGUUGGGGACAACGUCCGGAAACGGGCGCUAAUACCGCAUACGUCCUGAGGGUGAAAGUGGGGGAUCUUCGGACCUCACGCUAUCAGAUGAGCCUAGGUCGGAUUAGCUAGUUGGUGGGGUAAAGGCCUACCAAGGCGACGAUCCGUAACUGGUCUGAGAGGAUGAUCAGUCACACUGGAACUGAGACACGGUCCAGACUCCUACGGGAGGCAGCAGUGGGGAAUAUUGGACAAUGGGCGAAAGCCUGAUCCAGCCAUGCCGCGUGUGUGAAGAAGGUCUUCGGAUUGUAAAGCACUUUAAGUUGGGAGGAAGGGCAGUAAGUUAAUACCUUGCUGUUUUGACGUUACCAACAGAAUAAGCACCGGCUAACUUCGUG